rnacentral:rRNA from 1 species
GACGAACGCUGGCGGCGUGCUUAACACAUGCAAGUCGAGCGGUAAGGCCCUUUCGGGGGUACACGAGCGGCGAACGGGUGAGUAACACGUGGGUGACCUGCCCUCAGCUCUGGGAUAAGCCUGGGAAACCGGGUCUAAUACUGGAUAUGACUCCAUGACGCAUGUUGUGGGGUGGAAAGCCUUGUGCGGCUGAGGAUGGGCCCGCGGCCUAUCAGCUUGUUGGUGGGGUGANGGCCUACCAAGGCGACGACGGGUAGCCGGCCUGAGAGGGCGACCGGCCACACUGGGACUGAGACACGGCCCAGACUCCUACGGGAGGCAGCAGUGGGGAAUCUUGCGCAAUGGGCGAAAGCCUGACGCAGCGACGCCGCGUGUGGGAUGACGGCCUGGUGUAACUACUUCUACG